rnacentral:rRNA from 1 species
UACAGAGGGUGCAAGCGUUGUUCGGAAUUAUUGGGCGUAAAGGGCGCGUAGGCGGCGCGACAAGUCACUUGUGAAAGCUCCUGGCUUAACUGGGAGAGGUCAACGGAAACUAUCAGGCUUGAGUAUGGGAGAGGGUACUGGAAUUCCCGGUGUAGCGGUGAAAUGCGCAGAGAUCGGGAGGAACACCUAUGGCGAAAGCAGGUACCUGGACCAUUACUGACACUCAGCUGCGAAAGCUAGGGGAGCAAACAGG